rnacentral:tRNA from 1 species
GGGCGUUUAGCUCAGCUGGUUCAGAGCAUCUGCCUUACAAGCAGAGGGUCGGCCCAAACACUUCCGUACAUCA